UUUCCCAUCCAAAUGGCAGAGAUCUCGAGACACCAGAGAUAUGGCUGGGAGACAAAAGAAGCAGCCUGAAUGGCCAAUGUAAAAUCCUGCAGCCAGUGAAAAGCAUCCACUUCAUGUCAAAAUGAAGGCGUUAUCAAGCCAUUUUCAGAUGAACAAAAGCUGAGCAGACACGUACAGCACAAAACGCCGGGGAUGGGGGGUUUUCUUCAAGAUAAGUGGGGACAGCAGCAGACAGGAGCUCAGAUAGAAGAGAAUGAGUAAAGGACACCAGCAAUGGCGAGAUGGAACAAAGAAAUGAAUCUGUCUUUCUCUUUGAAUAUUUCUUUGAAAGAGGAAAGACUGUAUCAAGAGAAAUGUAUACUCUUGUAUUGAGGGUUACUGAGCCUGGCUGAGGAGAAUGUGUCACCAGAGCAGCACAGAGGCAGGGGUGGACCAGCAGUUACAUCGAGGUAGAUCCUUGUGUUAACAGGAAAAACACUUGGAGUCUCCAACACCACUGCUAUCCAGGCAUCCAUUCAUUCAAUUGAAGUGAUCGAAUCCAGGAUAGGACCAGCAGCCCCAGUAGUCCUGGGAGGUCAGUCAGAGAUCGGGACCAGGAAGCUUUUACUGCAGGGCCUCUCUGGAGUGUGGAUGGGAUUCUGGGAUUACUCAGCCCCUAAGAGCAUGGGGACUACAUGGAUGCAGAGAUGAUAACCUUCAUGGUCUUUUAGAGCUGGAGGUAAGUGUUGAAUUGGCCAUCUCUUUCCCUCCUUACAUCUUAUACACAGAGAGAACUGAGGUUCAGAGGAGUGAACUCAGUGCUGGCAUCAGCUAGUUUGAUCAUAACCAGGAGUAGAGCUCAGGUCUCCAGGUCCUGAGCCUGUGUCCUCUACCCCACAUCUACUUCCCUAAACUUCUUCCCAGAGGCCUUCUGAAGGUGGGUGGGGGUGGGGAGUUGACUCCUCAGGCACGUGGAGAUCAUCUCACUAAAAUUGAGAUUACAGCACCGUUUCCCCAGGCAGCAUGGGUGUGCUACCUUUUACUGUAGGGAGGCCUCUACCAGGCAUUCUGCUACAGCCGAGCACCUAGCCUCUAUCUUGUUUCCAUCAACAUAAUCUGUUCGCAACAUGAGAUUGGGCUUUUCCCUGGCCCCUUAUCACUAAUAGGAUCAGCGGAUUCUGCAGGAUGUGGGGAGCUGCAGUGAGCAUGCUCAGUCGGGGAAGCCGCUGUCUCAGAAACCGCAGCUCAGCUGGGUAUACACCAAGCUUUUGUAUUCAGGAGAGGAGAGUUCACCAGGAUUCGUCUCUCUCUCCUGGACCGCUUUAGCUCAGGCUGUAGCUCUAACUCAAAGCCCUGUCAACCAGAGGACGGUUUGGUUAGUGCCUCGUAGAGCCUCCACCGAGUCGUCGCCAUCUUACUUUUGGAAGCUUCUCUCAUCAUAUAUAACAUUUAUCUCACUUUAGGUGUGGUUUUUUUUUCUUCUUGCUAUAACAAAUCAAAUGAUUUUAAAUAAAUUUGCUUUAGAAACGACUUGGUCAAAAGAGACCGAUUCGAUUAUACUUCACGAAUCGUGUAAAAUGGCCAACAUUAUAAGCUUUAGAGACAUUUUAUUCAGUUUGAUUUUUCAGUUUUCUUUUCAUCUUUUGGAACCAAUCUUUCCUAGGCCGUCAAUGUGUUUGCCAUAGGCACUUCUGGCUUGUACCUGAUAAAGAAGUCUCACACGGGAAAGGAAGAAGCCGAAUGGAGCUCCCACUUCGGGUCUGCUGCUUGUUAGCUGUGCACCCUUGGGUGAGGCCCGGAGCUUUGGGUAUUUUAGUGAGACAGGGAGGCAGAAUGCAGCACUCUGCACCCUGCACCCCAAGCUGUUGCUUUUUGGGACAGGCUGAAUGUCAGGUAGCUUGGUGUAGAUGAAUUCAGGGGUUUGAGUAAGGGAGCUGGAGAUCAGACUUCCCUCCUUGGGAAGGGGAAGGGUUAGCCAGCUGGAAUCCAAGUCAGAAGCUGGGGCUUCCGUUGCUAGGCAACAGCAGCCUUUGUCUUGCUGUGACUCAGACAGGAGUAGGGUUUUUGAGUGGGCUCCAGCCACACAUGACUUCCUGCCUCUGCCAUUGACUCUCCCAUCUUCCUGCUUUCCUAGAGUGCAGCGUUAGUCACCACUUGCGACUCUCCUCAGCGCACCCUGUUCAGAGGCUGCCUCUAGCCCAGCCUUUAGGGCACACCAAUCUGUCUUACUUCCAAAUGCAUGGGAGGGAGCCUACACAGGGUAGGAAAACAGACAUGUUGCACUGUAAAAGCCUGAACUCAGUAUUAGCUCUUCCAGAGUUCUUAGGGUGUGUGAGAUACAGUCCCCCCACUUCUUAACUUCUCAUGGUAGGGCUUCAGGGAUCUCCACCUCUGUUACCAACUUCUCUUCACCAGACAUGCAGAGCAAUUCACCAGUUCUCAGAUUGUGUCUCCCCAUUCUCAGAUCCCGUUUCCCCCUUGCUUUAGUUUUUUAGGACUGGGCUUUGAAAUGUCUUCACUUCUGGAAGGCUCUUCCCCACUGACCCCACCCAGGUAGGUGUGGCUUGUAUCCCAGGAGUUAGGUGUUUGGGGCUUGUUAUCCAAUGUGAUGAAAUGGGUGUUGUAGCUAAUGUGAUUAGGUCAUCACCAUUGGGAGGGAUCACUGUUGGGCUUGAGGGAAAGUUAGUUGUACUGGCUGGUUUUGUGUGUCAACUUAACAGUAGCUGGAGUUCCCACAGAGAAAGGAGCCUCCCUUGAGGAAAUGCCUCCAUGAGAUAGGGAGCCUUCCCUGGCUUCCAGGUGCCGUUGUCAUAGAGGACAAGAUCCUAGCAAGCCAGCUGAUGAGGCCUCCUGGAGCAUCUGUGAUGUGGCCAGCCUUGCACUGUGGCAGAAGCAAGAGAAGGCUCUUCCGCUCUUGAAUAAUUAUUUCGUGUACUGGGAGAGAUGAAGACAGUUCGUGGAGAGGUACCAGUUGUGAGGUAGAGGAGAUGGGGCAGUUGUGAGGAUCAUUAUAGUUAAGACGGAGAGAGACUGACCCUGAGUGGUCAAGAAAUGCUUCCUGGAGGAGGCGAGCCUCGGGGAACGAGAAGUCCAUGGAGGGCCUCAAACAUACAGACUGCCUCCUGAGCACCGGCUUCGAGCUCGGAGCUUUGUGGAUAUGGUUGCUAUUGCGGCCGUCUUACAGAGUUUCAACGUCAGAACCAUUACGGUCUCUUUGUGAGUGAGACAAAUGGGGCUCUAAGAGGUGGAGUUUUCCACCUGGUUUCACAGUGAAUGAGGGGCAGAGCCAGGAUGAGCAUUCAGCACUGGGGGACUGGAAGCCUGAGCCUGAGGUAUUCACUGCUGUUAUGCAAAUGUCUGUGUGCAGAGGGUGCCCGUCUGGCACUAAUUAACCUGUAAGGAGUGUGGAAUCUCAAGGUCGAAGAUUGGUGGGGGCACAAUUUCAGAGUAGGGUCCCAGUCUGGACCUUAGCAGGUGAUACUGUAUCCCUCAGUGUUGAUGGACCUUUCUUCUUGUUGGUGGUUUUGGAAAGGUGUGGCCUUGUCACUCUAGCCUCACACCUGGGCUUGGGCCACAUCCUCUCACUGCAGAUGAAUGCAGCAGCCCCUAGGCUCAUGGCCGUCAGUAGCAUCUGUCCACAGCGGCCACCACCAUGAUCCUCCGAAGCAUAGAUCCUCUUGCUCCCAGUGUACUGGAAACUCCCAUUUCCACAGAAUCCUCAACGAUGCUGCAGGCCUCCUUUCCCUGUCCCUCCUCUCCUUCAUCUCUGCCUCUCCAGUCAGAAACCCUCUGCUUCUCUCUUGACCAUCUUUGGGCUUCCUGUGAUCACAUCCCUCCCAGUCCAGCUCCCUGUGACCUUCAUCCAUCCUCUAGGUGUGUGGAUAGAUGCUCUCUCUCACAGUCUCAGAGGACAGGGACAGAAAUAGGGAUAGAGUUAGCUCUCUUGAGUGGCUUCAGGCCCAGCAGAGAAUAGUCAGAGAGCUACAACCAGGCCUGCCCGCAUCUCCGCCAGGCAUCCUACAAGUGUGUUCCUAGCAUCCACUUGGAGCUCUCUUUGAGGCUGGGUAUUCGGGACACCGAGAAAAGUGAGGGCAGGUUGUGCCCUGUCUUUGUGGCAUGCGCAGAUCACAGGUUUGACUUUCUCCAAACCUCAGCUACUCUGUUAGGGAAAUCAGCUGAGCUGUGUGGGAAUAAUGUUGGGAGCAGAGCCCAGCUGUGUGUCUGCCCCCAUGAUGCCAAAAGUGGGUAGAGCAUUGAAGGACGAGUAGCCAAAGCCUCGUGAGGGGCAGCUGGUCUGUCUCAGUCCUACAUGGUUUUUUCCUCCGAGACUCAGAGUGAUCCAUCCCCUUUGGGCCCCUCCACUGAACGGUGCUGCUUCAGCUCCUGUGGCCAGUUUUUUCUGUGAGCCAUUCCAGAGAACUCACAGUGACCAGAGAAGUAGGUCUUAGAGCCAUUGCCCACAGGAUAGGAGGGGCUCCUGCCAACAGGCAGGCAUUGUUUACUAUGGACAGACAGCAGGCUGCAUGUUUUCCUAAUUUCCCAGAGAGCUCAUUUUACGCUCUGCUAAGAGCUCAAUGAGCUGGUACAAAAGCUGGGAGGCCCUCCUGCUUCCAGCGGGAUGGUUGGUGGGAGCCUGACACGGCGCUGUGCUGAGGACCAGGCAUCCAGAGCUAUAUUCCCGCAGGUCUUCCUCUCACAAGGGCCCCCUGAAGAUACCUUCCCUCCUAGGAUGGAUGGCUAGUGCGUCUCUGCAGCGAUGAGAGCCUUGGGGACUUCUGAGCUGGUGGAGUCUAAUCUAAGCAAUGCUAAAGACUAAAGGAGUCUUUUGUGGGCUUCUGGCCUGGCCUCAGUGAAGAGGGGGGUGUGACCUGGAAGGUCAGUUCCCUCCCCCUGGCCCAGAGUGAGAUUCUAUCCAGAGUGGCUGGGAUGAACCAGCUGAGAUCUGGAACUGUCCUGUGGUGCAAAUAGAAUGUGGGGACCAAGUGACUGGUCCUAGAUCUGGCUGCAGACAUAAGCAGAGGCUUCCUCACAAGGCACCUGGAAUAUGCCCAGAGAAUUUGCUCUUGCCGCCAUAAAAGUCUUUGUUUUUACAUUUACUUAUUUAGUGUGUGUGUGUGUGUGUGUGUGUGUGUGUGUGUGUGUGUGUGUGUGUGUGUGUAUGGAGGUCAGAGGACAAUUUACGGAAGUCAGUUCUCUCCUUCCAUUAUGUGGGCUCUGGGCAUCAAACUCAAACCAUCGGACUUGGUGGCAACGGCUUCACAGUUUAAAAAAAAGCAUCGUCUCCUCUUAUGAUGUUGAGAAUGGACUUCAGGCUUGUCCCAAUGCUUACGUUGCCCACUUUGGGUUUUGAGACAGGGUUAACACUGGCUUGGCGCAUAGCAAGUGGAUUGGCUGACCAGCAAGCCACUGGGAUCCUGUUGUCUCCAGUCUUCCAAGGGCUAGGACUACAAGCGUAUGCCAUGAGCCUCGUCUUCAAGGCGUGUGUUCAGGGAAUCAAAUGCAGACCCUUGCUCUCGCAAGGCAAGUACUUUAUCGGCCAAGCUCGUAGCUGCUCUUUAUUGGCAUUUGUAUGUUCCUCAUGCCCCAUGUCUGAAAAUUCCAGUAUCUAAAGCUCCUGUGAGUCUUUUCUGAAGAUUCAUACCUGUUAUUCUUUAUUUCUUUGUGUGCUUGGUAUUUCGGGGGCUAUAUGCUGCUUAUUACCUUCAGGACAUCCCUGGUAAGGAUUCCUGGGGCCUUGUUUGCCAUUUGGUUUGCUAGAGAGAUUUCUGUUUGCUUCUGCACUGACUGGGGACACUACCCAAGGUUUCAACCCAAGCUUCUCAUGAACUUCACAAUGUGCCCAAUUCUCAAAACAGUGUACAAAGCAGACUGUGUCUAUGCUAAGCUUUCCCCAUUCAGCCAAUGUCAGGGUCAAGAUGAACCCUUCGCUGUUUGUGGGGAGCCAGCUAUGUUGUGGUCACACUGAAUCUACUUGGACCUUCUGUUUACUCCUCAGCAUUACAGAGGAGAGGAUUUCACAUCAGACCCCCAACCUUGGGACACCGGUCUGUGACUGAGUUUGACCUUUUGACCCCAUAACUCAGGUGGUCUUAGAGAAGGACCUCAAGGGUCGGAGGGUCUAAGAGGAACCCUCAGGGAGGAAGUAAUGCUGCCUCUCAUCUUCCUUCCCAAAGUCUUAUUUUACUUUGUUUUAGGGCUCUGCAUAUCUUUCUUCUGUGCAAGAUCAAGCAAUGUAUUUAAGCAGAGUUAAAACAUGUUUUAUACAACCCCUUAGUUGUUAUACCCUGGAAGGCCCCAUAGGGGGACAAAUCACAUCAGAUCCAACCCCGUGGUUGGUUGGAAACAAGCUGCGUGUCAUUCUUUAUAACUUAAGUUAAUUUACUAACUCUACCUGUGUCAGCUUGAGGUCUCUCUCUCUCUCUCUCUCUCUCUCUCUCUCUCUCUCCCCUCCUCCUCCUCAGGGAUGGAUGGCAGCUUUGCAAUGCCAAGGCAUGGGUGUGGGAACACUGUACACUGGACAGCAGUGCCCUUUCUGCAGAGGACAGAGGUGGCAAUGCGUGUGGGAGCAGCGUGCACCAGAUCGCAGCGCUGUCUCUGCGCUUGGCACGGGUGCAGAUGUUCCAUCCAUCUGCCCCGAGACAUGUGCACACGCCGGGGUGGUUCUCAGUGGUCAGUGCCAUUCUUGAGGGUCGCAUAACCCACUUGUUACAGCCUGGACCUUGAGCUUCCUCUUAAAAUUACCAGAACAUGCUGUGCAGGUUGGAGGAAUGUGUCCCACCAGUGGCUCUGAUGAGGGACCUGGCCUGGAUCAUCUGUAUCCUGGGGUAAGAUAUUGAUCGAGCUGCGCUUGAGCCCCAAGAGGCGGUACUGAAGGAAUCGAGGGGCUUGAUUCAAAGGUAUAGGAACUCAGGGAGGGACAUUUCUAGAGAGGCCAGGAGUCUCCCCCUAUUCUCUCCCUGCAUCUCUGGUCUUUCCUUUUCACUUUCUCCCUUCUCUCUUCUCUGUGUCAUCUCCCUCCCUCCCUCCUUCAUUCCCCCCUCCCUCCCUCCUUUGUUUUCUCUGUCUGUUUAUGUAGCCCAUGCUGGCCUCAGACACACCACCUUUCUGCCUCAGUCUCCUGAGUACUGAGGUCAUACUGCGUACCGUUGAGUACAGAGGUCAUACCGUGUACUGCUGUACCUGUGCCUUCUUUUAUGGUAAAGCACCCAUUUAAUAUUUUUGUCUCUUAAAAAUAAUUCUUGUUUUUCUUUUUUAUGGAUGUAAUAUAGAUUAAAAUCCAUGAUCGAAAACAUAGAAAAGCACAAGCCCGUCUACCAAUGUUUAAUGCAUUAUUUACGUAUCCCUGCGCCUAGCUAUCUAUUUGUUAUAGGUAAAAUAAGAAAAACGUAAUCCAGUGCUUUGUGUUAUAAAAUUUGGAUGAUAUUCGGUGACAAGGUGUUUAGAGAUUACUCCUCCCCGAUUGUUGAUCUAUUAUGUAAUUUUUAUUGCUCUAAGUAUCUUUGAAAAUAUGUUUUGAAAAGAUUAUUUUUAAAGGCUCGUAGAUUCAGUAUGUGGGGUAUUAGGUAUUCACUUGCAUUAUGUGUUUGGAUGCCUUCCAGUUAUUCCAGCUUUAUAAAUAAGUCUUUGAUAAAUACCUCGGUGGAUAUUAUUUCUGCUGUUUACAUUUGGUUCUCCCUGUGUAAAUGGAUUUGUUGGCUCAUUUUUAGUUAUUUUUGUUAAUCAAAGGAAUGUAUUCUACAGUAAUGUGAAGUGUAUGUGUAUAUGCCAUAUAAAUGUUAGAAAUAUUACGUUUUGAAAAAAAACCAUGCAAUACAAAUAUCACAGCUUAUGGCAAAAUGCGUUUGAGGCAGAUCACUCAAAAUUUAUGUAACAUCGUGACCAUGGCAUGAAUAAAAAGUAACAAUCCUAAUAAAAAUGCUAUUAAAAUUAAUUAUAUUCACAACAAAUCGAGUAACUACACCACUGAAUAUUGAACUUUUCCGUUUGCUUGUUGCUUCCUGGGAGAGGGGUAAGGAAGAGCUCCCGGUGGGGAACGUCCCUCUGGAAGAUGGCGCAGAAGAGUGAGGGGAAAGUCUGUAGAGUGGCGUGAGGUCAGCAACAGCAGCCUCCACGGCAGGGCAAGCAAGAAGCCGAGACACCAAGGGCACGCUGAGGAGGCAGCGGUGAACUUCAAAUUCAGCAGCUACCUGGUGGCUUAAACGGACACUCCCUAAACCUUCUUCUCCUCACGACACUUUUUGCUAGAGAAAUUAUUUUCUUAUUACAUUUAUUUAUUUAUUUAUUUAUUUAUUUAUUUAUUUAGUGUGUGCACAUGGUGGUGGUGGUGGUGGUGUGUGUGUGUGUGUGUGUGUGUGUGCGCGUGUGCGCGUGUGCGCGCGCGUGUGACAGAGGAUAACUCUCAGGAGUUCUCUCCUUCCUUUAUGUGGGUCCUGGGGCUUGAAUUUAAGUUGUAAUUCCUGGUAGAAAGUGUCUUUAACUACUGAUCCAUCUUGCACAAUUUUUAUAUGACCCUAGGCACAUGGUAUAAAUCCAAACAUUUACUAGAGAAAUAAAUCAUGGAGAAGUAUAUUUUUACAUGCUUCUUUGGCCUAUAUACAAUUUUCCCUCUUAUUAAAGAUGAAAAGCAAACUGACAAACUAAUCAGAAUGGUGCGUUUGUUUGUUUAACAUAUUACGACCCUAAGAUAUACUAAAUUAAUACUUACAUGCUAAGGGAUGACAGGGAAAUAUUUUAAAAGCUUUUUUACUUUUCAUGAAUAAACUAUUAUGUGCCUUUAAGGGUCAAACCAAACCAAACCAAACCAAACCAAACCAAACCAAACCAAACCAAACCAAAAACAAAUAAGAAAGGCUGCACAUUGAAAACACUGAAAUUCAUAACUCAUGGCAGACUCAAAUCAGAGGCCGGGCGCUCCGGGAGGUGUGUUGGCGUUGUGUAGCCUGUCGGCCUGUACAGUGUGAAGCAUGGCCCAGUGCAUAUUGCGUGUUUGGAACCAAGCCUGCGAUGAAGUCGAGAGCACAACAGGACAAAUCCUGCUAAAGUACUUUGACUCAUUGUGUGUGUGACUUUUGACUUGGCCAUUGUGUGUUCAGAAAAUUCUUACUGUUGCCAAGUUUUUAAUGCUCACUCCCAUUCAGUGUCGUAGCCCUGUACGAGGCCCUGGGUCACGGUGUGAGCUGUUUUGGCUUAGAGCAGAGACUACAGGAAACACACGGACAAUGACCCCCCAGGCUCCGUGAUGUCUUUCUUUGCCGUGCCCAUUAUGUUUGACCUUGUUUUCCUUACAAAAAUGUGUCCUGGAGGCAACAGGACUGCGUGCAAAAUUGGUGUCCUUUAGAUUUCUGCUGUUGUGUCUAAAAGUCCUCAGGAGGACUCUGCACAACACAGACUUUUAGACCUUGUUAUGAUUUGCUAAUUCAGGGCUGGGGAGAUGGCUUCUCAGAAAAAGCCCUUGUCCUAUAAGUAUCUGUACCCGAGUCUACCUAGCCCCAGACUACAUAAGAAUGUCAGGCAUGGUGACAUAUGAUUGUAACCACAGCUCUGUAAAGGCAGUGACAGGCAGGUCCCUGAGGUUCAAUGGCCAACCAGUCUAGGCUAAUUGGUGCACUCCAGGCUAAUGAGAGAGCCUGUCUUAGAGGAGGUGGACAGAGUUGUUAAGGAUGACAUCCAAGAUUGUCAGUUAGUUGCCAAGCACACCACACACACACACACACACACACACACACACACACACACACACACACACACACACACACACAUAUAU